rnacentral:rRNA from 1 species
AGAAGUUGAAAGGCGGCUUUUGCUGUCACUUACAGAUGGGCUGCGGCGCAUUAGCUAGUUGGUAAGGUAAUGGCUUACCAAGGCGACGAUGCGUAGCCGACCUGAGAGGGUGAUCGGCCACACUGGGACUGAGACACGGCCCAGACUCCUACGGGAGGCAGCAGUAGGGAAUCUUCCGCAAUGGACGAAAGUCUGACGGAGCAACGCCGCGUGAGUGAUGAAGGUUUUCGGAUCGUAAAACUCUGUUGUUAGGGAAGAACAAGUGCCAUAGUAACUGAUGGCACCUUGACGGUACCUAACCAGAAAGCCACGGCUAACUACGUGCCAGCAGCCGCGGUAAUACGUAGGUGGCAAGCGUUGUCCGGAAUUAUUGGGCGUAAAGCGCUCGCAGGCGGUUCUUUAAGUCUGAUGUGAAAUCUUACGGCUCAACCGUAAACGUGCAUUGGAAACUGGGGAACUUGAGUGCAGAAGAGGAGAGUGGAAUUCCACGUGUAGCGGUGAAAUGCGUAGAGAUGUGGAGGAACACCAGUGGCGAAGGCGACUCUCUGGUCUGUAACUGACGCUGAGGAGCGAAAGCGUGGGGAGCGAACAGGAUUAGAUACCCUGGUAGUCCACGCCGUAAACGAUGAGUGCUAGGUGUUAGGGGGUUUCCGCCCCUUAGUGCUGAAGUUAACGCAUUAAGCACUCCGCCUGGGGAGUACGGCCGCAAGGCUGAAACUCAAAAGAAUUGACGGGGGCCCGCACAAGCGGUGGAGCAUGUGGUUUAAUUCGAAGCAACGCGAAGAACCUUACCAGGUCUUGACAUCCUCUGAACACUCUAGAGAUAGAGUUUUCCCUUCGGGGACAGAGUGACAGGUGGUGCAUGGUUGUCGUCAGCUCGUGUCGUGAGAUGUUGGGUUAAGUCCCGCAACGAGCGCAACCCUUGAUCUUAGUUGCCAGCAUUCAGUUGGGCACUCUAAGGUGACUGCCGGUGACAAACCGGAGGAAGGUGGGGACGACGUCAAAUCAUCAUGCCCCUUAUGACCUGGGCUACACACGUGCUACAAUGGAUGGAACAAAGGGAAGCGAACCCGCGAGGUCAAGCAAAUCCCACAAAACCAUUCUCAGUUCGGA